rnacentral:rRNA from 1 species
AACGAACGCUGGCGGCAUGCCUAACACAUGCAAGUCGAACGAGACCUUCGGGUCUAGUGGCGCACGGGUGCGUAACGCGUGGGAACCUGCCCUUAGGUUCGGAAUAACUCCCCGAAAGGGGUGCUAAUACCGGAUAAUGUCUUCGGACCAAAGAUUUAUCGCCUUUGGAUGGGCCCGCGUUGGAUUAGCUAGUUGGUAGGGUAAAAGCCUACCAAGGCGACGAUCCAUAGCUGGUCUGAGAGGAUGAUCAGCCACACUGGGACUGAGACACGGCCCAGACUCCUCCGGCGGGCAGCAGUGGGGAAUUUUGGACAUUGGCCGAACACCUGAUCCCCCAAUGCCCCUUGGGUUAAUAAGCCCUUAGGUUUGUAAAGCUCUUUUCCCCGGUAUAAUACUGACCGUCCCGGGAGAAUAAGCCCCCGCUACCCCCGU